rnacentral:rRNA from 1 species
CCUGAACGCUGGCGGCGUGGCUAAGACAUGCAAGUCGUACGGGGUAGCAAUACCCAGUGGCGAACGGGUGAGUAAUGUAUCGCUAACGUGCCCCCGAGUCAGGGAUAGCUGCCCGAAAGGGCAGGUAAUACCUGAUAAGACCACGACCGGGCAUCCGGUUGUGCUCAAAGCAGCAAUGCGCUCAGGGAGCGGGCGAUAUCGUAUCAGCUAGUUGGUGAGGUAACGGCUCACCAAGGCGACGACGCGUAGCCGGACUGAGAGGUUGGCCGGCCACAUUGGGACUGAGACACUGCCCAGACUCCGUACGGGGGGCUGCAGUAACGAAUCUUCCGCAAUGCACGAAAGUGUGACGGAGCGACGCCGCGUGUGGGACGAAGUCCU